rnacentral:lncRNA from 1 species
UUAUAUUGUUUAUUGGGACUGUUAAGCAUUUAUCGUAUCUUUUGAACCUUUUUCCACAGAACCAUAACUUGUGCUCUAUUAAUUCACACAACACCCAAAUACUCUUUCUUGGAACAAACUGACAUAUUGGGCCCAGAUUUCAGAGCCUGCAAGCACAUAUCUGCUGGUGAGGUGGAUAUGGGCCUCACUUGUCAGCCUAUUCCUCUUUUUUUUGUUUUUUGGUAAAGGUCAAUUUUAUUAACUCAAAAUGUAGGUUCAAGAAGAUACAAAGCAUAUUGAGCAUACACCCGGCCUCUUAAUGACUAGGAUGCAUCACAGCCAACAAGAACAUAUGGAAAUAAAAAUAAGGAUAUAGUAAAAUCCUAAAAGACCAAAAGUAGCCUAAGAUGAAUAGGAUGGAGGGCCCAGAUGUCAAAAAGCCUAUUCCCCUUAUUCUUACCUUCCUCUCCCUCCUCCGAAAGCCUAUUCCCCUUAUUCUUACUGUUAUGACCGGCUUGGCCUAUGGCCGGCGUAGGCCCAUUGGGCGUUAAUAUUAGCGGCUUGGCGCGCAAGUUAUCUUAGGUAAAUUACUUUAGGAAAGUUAUCUUAGGCUCGAGUUAUAAAUACUAGUUGUAAGACAUCAAUUGAGAUCAAGCAAUAAAGAUAUUAUCUUCUGUUGCCCGGCUCUCCAAGGAGCCGGAACCCUAGCCUCCGCCGCACCUAACCCUAGCCGCGACGGCGCCAUCUCGCCGGCGCGCCCGCUCCAGCCCUCGCUCCCCUCCUCCCUGCCCGUACAACCUACGCCGGAGGCCCGGUAGGAACCCUAGUCCUACCAAUUUGGUAUCCAGAGAUUUCAGGCUGAUCAUGUCGCUCCCUCCACCACCGCCGCCGCUCAACACCACCACCGCCCCACUGCCGCAAACCACCACCACCGCCCCGCCGCCGCUGCCGCUCAUGUCCGGGACCGCUCCCUCGCCAGUGCCGAUCAUCACCGCGGAGGAGCCGCUCCCCAUACUCUCGCCCGAGGCGAUGUCGGGCACCCUGCGGGAGCUUGUCCAAGCGGUCCGAGGCAUCAGCCUCUACCUCGCUGGGACCCAACCCCCGCCGCCGAGCGUCGCCCCCACUACCUACGGGCCGCCGUCGCUGCCGUGGGCCACCCCGGCCUUCCAGCCGCUCCACGGAGGNGCUGCCCCACCAGUCGCUACCGGCCACCACGACGCAGGCUCCGGCGCCGCACCAGCAGCCGCCGCCGCCAUCAACAGCAGCACCUCCAGCGCCCCGAACCACCGGUCGGCCCCUGCACCAGGUGCAGUUCCCGUCAUCGCCAUCACCAAUUCCCGCGUGGGCAGCCGGAUCAUCUUCGGGUCCGAUCUAUACCCCGGCACCGGAACACCCGGCGCCCUCUCUUCCGUUCGAGCGGCCCUCCAGCUCGGCGCCCUACGGCCCGGAGUUUCCCGACCCGGCAUACGCGAUGCCACCGACAUCCGCGGCUCCCGGACACGGCGGGCCGACAUCUCCUCGGUUCGCGAAGCUGAACUUCACCACUUACGACGGCGCGGAAGACCCCCUCAACUGGCUCAACCAGUGCGAGCAGUUCUUUCGGGGGCAGCGGACGCUCGCGUCGGAUCGCACCUGGCUCGCGUCCUAUCAUCUCCGUGGUACUGCCCAGACUUGGUACUACGCCCUCGAGCAGGACGAGGGCGGCAUGCCACCGUGGGACCGAUUUCGCGAGCUCUGCCUUCUCCGGUUUGGCCCCCCCAUCCGUGGCAGCCGACUGGCAGUCCUCGGCCGCUUACCGUUUACCUCAACGGUCCAGGACUACGCCGACCGAUUCCAAGCCCUGGCAUGCCACGCGCCAGGCAUAUCCGCGUCUCGGCGCGCUGAGCUCUUUGUGGGUGGCCUACUGGACCAUAUUCACGUGGAUGUCGAGCUCCGGGAACCCCCCGACCUUCAGUCCGCCAUGUACUACGCCCGGGCCUUCGAGCAGCGGGCCCAGGCACUGCAGCAACCGCCCGGACGGGGCGGCCGCCAGCUCAGUCGACCCGCGCCGACCCUUCCAGCACCGGGCCGGCCUCCGCCAGCCGCAACGGCCGCACCUCCGGCCACCACACGGACCUUCCGCAGGUUGUCCCCGGCCGAGCAGCAUGAGCGUCGACGUCAGGGUCUCUGCUUUAACUGCGAUGAGCCCUACACGCCGACACAUGUCUGCCCCCGCCUCUUCUACUUGGAGACGGCCGACUACACCGAGGCGGACGAGACGAACGACGCACCAGACACGGCCGCAGAUUCUACGGCGACGGCCUGCGUCGUCUCUCUCCACGCCCUCGCCGGCAUCCGUCAUGAGCGGACCAUGUUGCUGCCCGUGACGAUCCAUGGCGAGCAGCUGGUGGCCCUGCUGGAUACGGGCUCCACUCAUAACUUCCUGCCCGAGGCAACCAUGCGUCGUCUAGCUAUUCCGACCACGGGCGGGGAGCGCCUUCGGAUCACGGUGGCCAACGGUGACCGCCUCCAGUGUCAUGGACUCGCCCGCGACGUUCCCAUCACCAUCGGGGGCGAACACUUUUCCAUUACCUGUGCCGGCAUCGACCUCGGCUGUUUCGACUUCAUCCUCGGUGUGGACUUUCUCCGGACCCUCGGGCCCAUCGUGUGGGACUUCGACGCCCUCACGAUGACAUUCUGGCGGCUGGGACGCCAAAUUCGGUGGGACGGCAUUGGGGGCGCUUCGCCCGCCGUGCCACAUCUUCAGCUAGCCGCCGCCUCCUCCGAGACCGAGCACCCUCUGCUGGAUCCACUUCUGCAGCAACAUAGCGUCCUCUUCGACGAGCCGCGGGGACUCCCACAUGCUCGGGUAUACGACCAUCGCAUUCACCUUGCUCCGGGCUCCACUCCCGUGGCGGUGCGACCUUACCGCUACCCUCAGCUGCAGAAGGAUGAGUUGGAGAGACAGUGUGCCCUUAUGCUCGCAGCGGGCAUCAUCCGGAUCUCGACGUCACCCUUCUCCGCGCCGGUCCUUCUCGUCCGCAAGACAGAUGGCACGUGGCGUUUCUGCAUCGACUACCGCGGCCUGAACGCGCUCACACUCAAGGACAAGUUUCCGAUACCGGUGGUCGACGAGCUCUUGGAUGAGCUUCAUGGGGCGCGCUUCUUCACCAAACUCGAUCUCCGGUCGGGCUAUCACCAGGUGCGCAUGCAUCCACACGACAUCGCCAAGACGGCGUUUUGCACCCACCAUGGCCACUUCGAGUUCUUGGUGAUGCCUUUCGGCCUCGCCAAUGCCCCGGCGACUUUCCAGGCCCUGAUGAACGACAUUCUGCGACCCUACUUACGGCGGUUUGUGCUUGUUUUCUUUGAUGAUAUUCUUAUCUUCAGCGCCACCUGGGCCGAGCACCUCCAGCACGUCGCCAUCGUCUUCAACGAGCUUCGGGCGCACGACCUCCACCUCAAGCGCUCGAAGUGCUCGUUCGGGACACCUACUGUUGCCUACCUCGGCCAUGUCAUCUCGGCCGACGGGGUGGCUAUGGACGCCGACAAGGUGGCAGCUGUCUCCGCCUGGCCGACGCCUCACUCGCCGCGGGCUCUCCGCGGGUUCCUCGGCCUCGCAGGAUACUACCGGAAAUUUAUUCGGGAGUUCGGGCUCAUCGCGGCACCUCUCACGCGGCUGCUCCGCCGCGAUGCUUUCGCCUGGGACGACGAGGCGACAGCGGCAUUCGAGGCCCUCAAAGGGGCCCUCACGACGGGUCCCGUCCUCCAGAUGCCCGACUUCGACCGGCCGUUCGUGGUGGACUGUGACGCGUCGGGCGUGGGCUUCGGCGCCGUGCUUCAUCAGGGCGAGGGGCCCAUUGCUUUCUUCAGCCGGCCUUUUGCUCCGCGCCAUCUUAAGUUGGCGGCGUACGAGCGGGAGCUCAUUGGCCUGGUGCAGGCCGUGCGCCAUUGGCGGCCGUACUUGUGGGGACGGGUCUUCCACAUCCGUACGGACCAUUACAGCUUGAAGUUUUUACUGGACCAACGACUGUCGACUGUGCCGCAGCACCAGUGGAUCAGCAAGCUCUUCGGCUUCGACUUCUCCGUCGAGUAUCGUCCGGGCCGCCUUAACACCGUGGCCGACGCGCUGUCCCGUCGCGACUCCGAUCUCGCUCCUUCCACCGACGAGGUCACUGGGGUGUCCCUGUGCAUCCGAUCCGGGCCGACGUUCGGCCUCUUCGCCGACAUCCGCCGCGCAACUGCAACAGCCGACGACGCCGUUCUUCUCCAGCAGCAGCUCACGGCCGGUGACCUUGAGGAGCCCUGGCGCUUCACUGAUGGACUGCUUCUCCAUGGGCGCCGGAUCUUUGUUCCGGCGCAUGAUGAUCUCCGUCACCAGGUGCUCCAGCUCGCCCACUCGGCAGGUCAUGAGGGUGUGCAGAAAACCCUCCAUCGUCUUCGCGCUGACUUCUACAUCCCCGGCGAUCGCGCACUCGUCCGCGACUGGGUUCGGUCUUGCCAGACAUGCCAGCGCAACAAGACGGAGACCCUGAGACCGGCUGGGUUACUUCAGCCCUUGGAGGUGCCGUCUCAGGUUUGGGCGGAUAUUUCCAUGGACUUCAUCGAGGGCCUUCCCAAGGUGGGCGGCAGGUCGGUCAUCCUUACGGUGGUCGACCGCUUUUCUAAGUAUGCCCACUUCAUCGCGCUCGGUCAUCCGUACACGGCGGCGUCCGUGGCCCGGGCCUUCUUCGACGGCAUCGUUCGCUUACACGGAUUCCCAGCUUCGAUCGUCAGUGAUCGGGACCCGGUGUUCACGGGACAUGUCUGGCGCGACCUCUUCAGGAUGGCGGGCGUCCAGCUUCGCCUGAGUACGGCAUUUCAUCCUCAGACGGACGGUCAGUCCGAGGUGGUUAACAAGGUCAUUGCCAUGUAUUUGCGUUGUGUGACAGGUGAUCGGCCUCGAGCUUGGGUGGACUGGCUCUCUUGGGCGGAGUACUGCUACAACACCUCCUAUCACUCCGCCCUUCGUGCCACGCCAUUUGAGGUGGUAUAUGGGCGUCCGCCCCCGCCUAUACUUCCGGUGGACCCGGCGACGGCUCGGACAGAGAUUGCGGGUGACCUUAUCCGCACCCGUGACGAGAUGCUUGCUGAGGUCCGUCAGCGUCUCCUUCAGGCCCAGCAGCUGGCCAAGCACUACUACGACAAUCACCAUCGCGAGGCGGAAUUCGCCGUGGGUGAUUGGGUGUGGCUGCGUCUUCUCCACCGCUCUACGCAGUCACUCGACCCGCGCGCGAAGCGCAAGCUCGGCCCUCGCUACGCUGGACCCUUCCCUAUCGUGGAGCGCAUUGGGAAGGUGGCCUAUCGUCUUUAGCUGCCAGACCACGCUCGUAUCCACGACGUCUUCCAUGUGGGGCUACUCAAGCCCUUCUGUGGCGAGACACCGGCGGCCCUUCCGGCGCUUCCUCCAAUCGCCGAUGGUCGCAUUCUUCCGGAACCAGCCAAGGUGUUGCAGGCACAACUUCGACGUGGCGUGUGGUUCCUCCUCGUUCAGUGGACGGGUCUUCCGGAGGAGGAGGCUACGUGGGAGCAGUGUGAGGAAUUCCGCCAACACUAUCCAAACUUUCAGCUCGAGGACGAGCUGUUUGUGCAGGCGGGGAGAGAUGUUAUGACCGGCUUGGCCUAUGGCCGGCGUAGGCCCAUUGGGCGUUAAUAUUAGCGGCUUGGCCCGCAAGUUAUCUUAGGUAAAUUACUUUAGGAAAGUUAUCUUAGGCUCGAGUUAUAAAUACUAGUUGUAAGACAUCAAUUGAGAUCAAGCAAUAAAGAUAUUAUCUUCUGUUGCCAGGCUCUCCAAGGAGCCGGAAUCCUAGCCUCCGCCGCACCUAACCCUAGCCGCGACGGCGCCAUCUCGCCGGCGCGCCCGCUCCAGCCCUCGCUCCCCUCCUCCCUGCCCGUACAACCUACGCCGGAGGCCCGGUAGGGACCCUAGUCCUACCACUUACCUUCCUCUCCCUCCUCCCAUCUGCAGGGCUAUAUCUUGCUUAUAGCGUGCUGUAUGCCCGGCUCCCUGAAGGUUUUCCGCUGCUCGCUAUAGUACAGGGCCGGCCUGUUAGUUUGCUCGUAGCUGCGCUCGAUCCGUUCCUUUGCUGGUUCGCUUCAGCUUUCUUCCUUUUCUUCCGGUUUUCUCUAUUGCUUCAAUGGUUUUCUUUUUUUCUUUGUUUUUCUUCAUUUGUCUCCGGUUUUAUUAUUUUCACCGGUUUCUUUGUUUAUUUA